UUAGAGUUUGAUCCUGGCUCAGGACGAACGCUGGCGGCGUGCUUAACACAUGCAAGUCGAGCGGAAAGGCCCUUCGGGGUACUCGAGCGGCGAACGGGUGAGUAACACGUGAGUAAUCUGCCCCUAGCUCUGGGAUAGCUCCGGGAAACCGGGAUUAAUACCGGAUACGACCUCUGAGGGCAUCCUCCGGAGGUGGAAAAGAUUCUGGCUAGGGAUGGGCCCGCGGCCUAUCAGCUUGUUGGUGGGGUAAUGGCCCACCAAGGCGACGACGGGUAGCCGGCCUGAGAGGGCGACCGGCCACACUGGGACUGAGACACGGCCCAGACUCCUACGGGAGGCAGCAGUGGGGA
rnacentral:rRNA from 1 species